CAAGUCGAACGUGAAAGCUCCCUUCGGGGGGCAAGUAGAGUGGCGCACGGGUGAGUAACACGUAGGUAAUCUACCUUCGGGUGGGGAAUAACGACCGGAAACGGUUGCUAAUACCGCAUAAUGCAGCGGCACCUAAUGGUGACAGUUGUUAAAGCGGGGGAUCGAAAGACCUCGCGUCUGAAGAGGAGCCUGCGGCGGAUUAGCUAGUUGGUAAGGUAAUGGCUUACCAAGGCGACGAUCCGUAGCCGGCCUGAGAGGGCGGUCGGCCACACUGACACUGACAUACGGGUCAGACUCCUACGGGAGGCAGCAGUCGGGAAUUUUGGGCAAUGGGCGAAAGCCUGACCCAGCAACGCCGCGUGAAGGAUGAAAUCCCUCGGGAUGUAAACUUCGCAAGAACGGGAAGAAUAAGUCGGUGCUAACACCACCGGCGAUGACGGUACCGUUUGUAAGCUCCGGCUAACUCCGUGCCAGCAGCCGCGGUAAUACGGGGGGAGCAAGCGUUGUUCGGAUUUACUGGGCGUAAAGGGCGCGUAGGCGGCCACCGCAAGUCAAUUGUGAAAUCUCCGGGCUUAACUCGGAAAGGUCAACUGAUACUGCGGGGCUAGAGUGCAGAAGGGGCAACUGGAAUUCUCGGUGUAGCGGUGAAAUGCGUAGAUAUCGAGAGGAACACCUGCGGCGAAGGCGGGUUGCUGGGCUGACACUGACGCUGAGGCGCGAAAGCUAGGGGAGCGAACGGGAUUAGAUACCCCGGUAGUCCUAGCCUUAAACGAUGAAUGCUUGGUGUCUGGGGUUUUAAGUCCCCGGGUGCCGUC
rnacentral:rRNA from 1 species